GUCCACGCCGUAAACGGUGGGCGCUAGUUGUGGGGACCUUCCACGGUCUCUGCGACGCAGCUAACGCAUUAAGCGCCCCGCCUGGGGAGUACGAUCGCAAGAUUAAAACUCAAAGGAAUUGACGGGGCCCCGCACAAGCAGCGGAGCAUGCGGCUUAAUUCGACGCAACGCGAAGAACCUUACCAAGGCUUGACAUAUAGGGAAAAGCGGCAGAAACGUCGUGUCCGCAAGGGCUCUAUACAGGUGGUGCAUUGUUGUCGU
rnacentral:rRNA from 1 species